CCUACGGGUGGCAGCAGUGGGGAAUAUUGGACAAUGGGCGAAAGCCUGAUCCAGCCAUGCCGCGUGUGUGAAGAAGGCCUUCGGGUUGUAAAGCACUUUCAGUGGGGAAGAAAGCCUUGGGGCUAAUACCCUCGAGGAAGGACAUCACCCACAGAAGAAGCACCGGCUAACUCCGUGCCAGCAGCCGCGGUAAUACGGAGGGUGCGAGCGUUAAUCGGAAUUACUGGGCGUAAAGCGCGCGUAGGCGGUCUGAUAAGCCGGUUGUGAAAGCCCCGGGCUCAACCUGGGAACGGCAUCCGGAACUGUCAGGCUAGAGUGCAGGAGAGGAAGGUAGAAUUCGCGGUGUAGCGGUGAAAUGCGUAGAGAUCGGGAGGAAUACCAGUGGCGAAGGCGGCCUUCUGGACUAACACUGACGCUGAGGUGCGAAAGCGUGGGUAGCAAACAGGAUUAGAUACCCCAGUAGUC
rnacentral:rRNA from 1 species